AAUCCCUUGACAUUUCUUCAGGAUUCCGUCUAAGAAAGAACCUGUGUUCAGACUAAUCAUCACCUACCCACCUUAGCUGGAGAUCUCAGUUGGAGUGCAUCAUCAGGAGCAGACCUACGUGGGAGACCUGAAGGAACGCAGAGAGACAUUUGGGAAAGCGGCGAGGACGGCCCAAGAGACUCCCGGAGGAGGGAUCCCGGGGCCUGAAGAAAUGAGAACACCGUUGGACGAACGAGGCCAAGCGGACGGAAACGUGCAGCAUCCCUCGGAAAGAUGAGGCAACUGAGGCGCAGGGAAGCGGAG